rnacentral:rRNA from 1 species
AACGAACGCUGGCGGCGUGCCUAACACAUGCAAGUCGAGGGAGAAAGCCGCAAGGCGAGUAAACCGGCGAACGGGUGCGUAACACGUGGAUAAUCUACCUCCAUGUCCGGGACAACUGGCCGAAAGGCUUGCUAAUACCGGAUAAGCCCACGCCGUCUUUGGACGGAGAGGGAAAGGUGGCCUCUGCAAGCAAGCUAUCGCAGGGAGAUGAGUCCGCGGCCCAUCAGCUAGUUGGCGGGUAAA